rnacentral:lncRNA from 1 species
GCCAAAUGUUGCUAACCUUUGGGAACUUGAAUGCAUUUCCGAAUAGAAGUGCUUCUUGAAAGAAAAUAAAUAAAUGUGUCCCCAUGUUGAUAUUUUAUUGAGUUGUAUGCUGCUGAAGAUGUGGCACAAACUCAUAGUAUGAUUCAUUAAAGCAAUUUAGACGAUUAUCAGUCCUUUGCAAAAAAGAGCUUUUCAUCCAGAAACAGCAGAUGCUGUACUUCCCUUUGUCAUGGUUGGACUCUGAUAGUCCUCGCCCAGUCUCAACAUACUUUUUCCUUAAAGGACUGUUUGCCACUGUCUUGUUUUUUUGCUUGUUGGCUGGUUUUUAUAUUUUGGGGCUUGGUGGGGGGGGAGGCGAGAUUUUUGAUCUGCGCUUCUAAGUUGGAAAUUAUUUUGUACCACUUCGUAAAAUCACAGUAUCACAACAACGAAUCUGUGGAAGUUUAGUAAGGUAAGGAGUGAAAUAAGGUGUAGAGGUUUAAAAAAAGACAAAAACACUUUUUUGUCUGUAGGCUUUAGUAUCCCCAACUGAAAUAUGCCUCAGGUUUCUCCAGAUCCCUGUCUCUUCUCCUUAGGGGUAACCAAAGAAGGCAGCAAGAAGGUAACACCACUGCUAGGACUGCUUGCCCUCACGGCUUCAUUCCAAAGUGAGAGAGAGGCAAGCGUGUGGGCCUCUGCAGCCAACACAUUGAGUGAAGGCACAGGCUCCUUUGGGGAAGAAAUGUCAGGUCUUCUUCUCUUCUCUGAAGGAAAUACACUGUCUUCACACAAGAUUCCCGAGCACAUUAUGAAGCCUUAGAGGCUCGUCUCAGAUGAAACAGCUGCUCCUGGUCAAAAGGAACCUCUUAUUCUCAAUGUCUCUACCAUCGCUCCUGGGCAGAGAAUCAGUGAGCACAGACUUCUGCAUAUCUGUGGAGUUAGGCCUUCCUCUGUCCAAUAGCACAUAAUUCUGACAAAAUCCAUUCAUUCUAAAGCUUAGCACAAUUUUUCAACUCCACAAUCACCUUCUACCCUUUUCAAAAUGUGUUUUAAGAAAAGUGUCUAUUGUACAAAUGUUUGAGAAACACACAUAAGUACAAAAAUAAUAGUCAUGAAUAGCCCCAGCACAAAGAUGAUGACUGUGGUUCAUAUCUGCAGGUUUAUCCUUCCAGAAAUAAAAUAUAUGUCAUCUCUUUUUUAUUUUCA